rnacentral:rRNA from 1 species
GACGAACGCUGGCGGCGUGCUUAACACAUGCAAGUCGAACGAUGAAGCCGGAGCUUGCUCUGGUGAAUUAGUGGCGAACGGGUGAGUAACACGUGAGUAACCUGCCCUUGACUCUGGGAUAACUGCGGGAAACUGUAGCUAAUACCGGAUACGACCCUCGGAGGCAUCUCCUGGGGGUGGAAAGAAUUUCGGUCAAGGAUGGACUCGCGGCCUAUCAGCUAGUUGGUGAGGUAAAGGCUCACCAAGGCGACGACGGGUAGCCGGCCUGAGAGGGUGCCCGUCAACACUGGGACUGGGACACGGCCCAGACUCCUACGGGAGGCAGCAGUGGGGAAUAUUGCACAAUGGGCGCAAGCCUGAUGCAGCAACGCCGCGUGAGGGAUGACGGCCUUCGGGUUGUAAACCUCUUUUAGCAGGGAAGAAGCGGAAGUGACGGUACCUGCAGAAAAAGCACCGGCUAACUACGUACCAGCAGCCGCCGUAA